CCUACGGGUGGCAGCAGUGAGGAAUAUUGGUCAAUGGACGAGAGUCUGAACCAGCCAAGUCGCGUGAAGGAUGACUGCCCUAUGGGUUUUACACUUCUUUUAUAUGGGAAUAAAACGUUCCACGUGUGGGAUUUUGUAUGUACCAUAUGAAUAAGGAUCGGCUAAUUCCGUGCCAGCAGCCGCGGUAAUACGGAGGGUCCGAGCGUUAUCCGGAUUUAGUGGGUGUAAAGGGAGCGUAGGGGGAUUCUUAAGUCAGUUGUGAAAGUUUGCGGCUCAACCGUAGAAGUGCAGUUGAAACUGGCAGUCUUGAGUACGGGAGAGGUAGGUGGAAUUCGUGGUGUAGCGGUGAAAUGCUUAGAUAUCACGAAGAACUCCGAUUGCGAAGGCAGUUCACUGGACUACAACUGACGCUGAGGCUCGAAAGUGUGGGUAUCAAACAGGAUUAGAUACCCCUGUAGUC
rnacentral:rRNA from 1 species